rnacentral:rRNA from 1 species
AUUGAACGCUGGCGGCAGGCCUAACACAUGCAAGUCGAGCGAGCGGCGGACGGGUGAGUAAUGUCUGGGAAACUGCCUGAUGGAGGGGGAUAACUACUGGAAACGGUAGCUAAUACCGCAUACCAUCAGAUGUGCCCAGAUGGGAUUGGAGAGUAGGUGGGGUAACGGCUCACCUAGGCGACGAUCCCUAGCUGGUCUGAGAGGAUGACCAGCCACACUGGAACUGAGACACUGGCCAGGUCCGUAGGGGAGGCAGCAGUGGGGAUUAGUGCACAAUGGGCGCAAGCCUGAUGCAGCCAUGCCGCGUGUGUGAAGAAGGCCUUCGGGUGGUAAAGCACUUUCAGCGGGGAGGCGUUACCGGCAGAAGAAGCACCGGCUAACUCCGUGCCAGCAGCCGCGGUAAUAC